rnacentral:tRNA from 1 species
UCCCUGCUGGCUCAGAUGGUAAAGCGUCUGCCUACAAUGCAGGAGACCCUGCAGGUUCAAUCCCUGGGUUGGGAA